rnacentral:tRNA from 1 species
CAUGAGAUAGUGUCGUUUAUUGAAAAAUAAGGGAAAAAUAUUCGUUUCCUUCAGGCUCAUAACCUGAAGGCCGCAGGUUCAAAUCCUGCUCCACAACCA